rnacentral:rRNA from 1 species
UGGGGAAUCUUGCACAAUGGGGGCAACCCUGAUGCAGCGACGCCGCGUGAGCGAUGAAGCCCUUCGGGGCGUAAAGCUCUUUCGACCGGAACGAUAAUGACGGUACCGGGAGAAGAAGCUGCGGCUAACUACGUGCCAGCAGCCGCGGUAAUACGUAGGCAGCAAGCGUUGUUCGGAGUUACUGGGCGUAAAGAGUGCGUAGUCGGUUGUCUAAGUUCGGUGUGAAAUCUCCCGGCUUAACUGGGAGGGUGCGCCGAAGACUGGGAAGCUGGAGUGUGGGAAAGGCAGGCGGAAUUCCUGGUGUAGCGGUGAAAUGCGUAGAUAUCAGGAGGAACACCGGCGGUGUAGACGGCUUGCUAGACCAUAACUGACGCUGAGGCACGAAAGCGUGGGUAGCAAACA